ACCAUUAACUUUUUUUUUAUGAGAUUCCCUCUUUUUUCAUUUCAACAUUUUUGCUGCUUUUAUAAUUUAUUUACCUUCACUGAAUAUUAACUAAAAUAUUUUGGUUUGUAGUUACUUAUUUUCUUUUUACUUUCUCUCUUUACUCCUCUGCAAAAGAUGGUGGCCCAUACUGGGGUUCAAUUCUUACUGCUAGCCUUUGCAAGAACCUUCAUGUGUUUAAAUGCUGGUGCCCUACUUGGAUAAGGAAAGCUCCCACAGGCUAAUUUCCUGCUUUGUUAUGUCCAUGAAUGCACACUUCCAGCUGACAUGGCAGUCAAGAAUGGGAACACUUUUAAAAAAUUGUUCUCUUCCCCUAACACAGGAAAAUUGAUGCUAAUGUUUCCUGAAUUCAGUACAAUGGAAUGGGAUUAAUUGACUACCUCUACUAAAGUACUAGCACAGACACAAUGGGCCAAAUGGCCGUCUGUUGUGCUAUAUCAUUCAAUGAUUCUAUUCUAUUAUAACUUGGGACUUUUAGUGUGAUAUUAAGCUGUACAGACCAUGUAUUGCAUUUCUACACUCAGCUAUCAGAGAACGAGAUGUUUUUAAACAAUGUUUUCUUCUCAUUUUCUUUACCUGCUAUAUUCCACUUCUCUGUAUGGUUUAGUGGGAAGACAGAAUUUUCAAUUGAAUUUUGUUUAACCUUUUUUAAGUGUACUGCUGCUAUUGUUCCCUCGUUCUUUUUGAAAAGUGGCUGUGCUGUCAUGUAUGAAAGUGAUUGAGUUCCUUUGAAAAUGGUUUUCAGCACCUUAGAAAUCUCUACAGAGCAUGUAUACCAGUAUUGUUAAUUAUUCCAAGUCUUUUAAAUUGCAUUUUCUCCCUCUCCUCCUCUCUUGAAAGCAUUGACUCUCAUUGGGGUGUGGCUACAUAUUCUGCUUGUAUGAGUUGAGACGAUGUCUGACUGUUUGCUUUGGGCAGGAGGCACUCGCAAGUCUGAUGCUGUUCACAUAGUGUGAUUUGUGGCAGGUGUACUUGACAAUGAUCAGCCGUGGGCCCCAGCUAUGAUGGGGGAAAGGCACCUAUACCAAUUAUCACACUUCUGCUGCAACUGUGGCUGAGAUUAAAUAACCAAAGCAAUAGGAACUUGGGACAUCUUGCUCUAUGUGGCUGAAUGCCACAUGAGACCCAGGAGCGGAGUAUUGGACAGGCAUUUUGAACAUGGAGAACAUCUGUGGCAAGCUUGAUCCCAUCCUUGCCCAACAUCCAUACAAGUGCAUUUUUCAGCAGAAAUAAUGCAUAUUUGCAAAUGAUACCAAACUAGCGAGGAAGUGGAAUUCAAGGAGUCAACACUGAAAUUACAGAAUGAGUUGGGUAAAAUACGUAUUUUCGUAGAAAAAAG